GAGAGAACCACGGGAAGCCGGGGAGGGGGUUCAGAAGCAAUCCACAAAACACUUAAAGGUAAGUCUGAAGAACCGCAUUGAUGAGGUUUCAAAACGAGGGAAUGAAGUGUCAGCUAACGGGCAGAUGCAGGAAAGAGCCUGUUCAGAAAUGGAAAAGGAUGCUUUGUGUGCGAACGUCCUCCAUCACACACACAGAGUCUCACAAGCACUGAAUCCUCCUUGCCAAAUAAAGAAU